AAGCCAGUAGCCUGUAAAUCGGUUUAAACUAACUUAUAAAAAUGUAUAAUGUUUUGAAUGUGUUUAACCGUUAAUGAACCUUUUGAAGUCAGGCUCAACAUCCUGAUAAUUUUGGUGCGAAGGAAGGUGGUAAGAGGAAUAGUGAUGGGACUAUUUGAUUCCGAUUCUUUAUUUUUAGUUGACGCAUUUAGAAUGAGAAAGGAUUGUGGAACCCGUGAUAAG
rnacentral:lncRNA from 1 species